GAGACCUAGCAUCCAGCAAAGGGGAGAGGAAGGAUUGACGACGGGCACCUAGACAUAUAGAAGCGGGAUUAGGCGGACAUUGACAAAUUGGAAUUACACUAUAAAGAUCUUUAAGAGCAGUAGUAGUCAAAAAAAGUCAAAAAGAGGUACACGAGCUGAGCUGAGGAGCGCUAAUACACACACACACACACACACACACACACACACGCUCGUACAGUCAAGGGCGGGCAAGUAGACACAACAUACACACACUCUCUCUCUUUCUCAUACACACACAUGAAUAACUUUAUAAGAAUAAUGAAAAAGGAGUAAUAAGAUAUUAUAAUAUCUUAUAGUAAUAGAGAAACUCUCUAUAAAAAAACAGAAUAGUAGGAUAUGCAGGACAGUAGAACUGUAAUGAUAUUAAGAAGUUGGAAGUACAGUAAACCGCUUUUCAAGUAGUAUAAAAAUAUAUCUAUAAAAUAAGAAAUAUAGAGCAAAUAUGAAAAUAAAUUAUAAACUAGAAAUACAGGAAAAUGUAAACUUACUCAUGACUCAAAUGGUGAAGGUUCUUGUCUCGCAAGGAAGGCCUUAAUUUUAAGAAAGAACCAUGAGGAGCCAGUUAUAAGGGUGGCUGAGUCAAGCUGCCCCCCCACGAGAUAACAAUAAGAUCAAGGUCACUCUAGAUUGUUUAGUCUUGUCCACUUUCUAUUUUACGGGUUAUUCAAAUUCUCUGGUUUCGAUUCUCUGGGUAAUUCAAAACUCUGGUUUCGAUUCUCUGGGUAAUUCAAAACUCUGGUUUCUGAUUCUCUGUGUAAUUCAAAACUCUGGUUUCUGAUUCUCUGUGUAAUUCAAAACUCUGGUUUAUGAUUCUCUGAGUAACUAAAAACUCUGGGUUUUUAUUUUCUGGGUUAUUAGAAAUGCCUGGGUUCUGAUUUUAUGUGUAAAUUAAAACCCCUGGUUUCAAUUCUAUGUGUAAGUGAAAUAGCCCUUUUCUGGAACAUAAGAGUAAGGUAAAUGAGCUCUUUUUUUAACCCUAUUGGUAGUGAGAUCAUAGUCUUCUUGAAACAUAUGGGUUAUUUAGUGUGUAAAUACAGUAUAAAUACUGGAGCUUAAGCUCAGGGUAUUGGGAUCACCUCUGAGAAUUCUCAUCGGUGUGGAUCUCGUGUGGUGGAACGGAACAAUAAAGCUGGACCCUUGCUUCUUCUCACUCACGGCUGGUGUAUUUUUUCUAUCUCCAACUGGGCUCAGAGGUAGAUGAGGAUGUGUACCUUGGCAAGCGUACUCAUGAAGUGCUGAUCCCCGUUGAGCACUGUGUUAGAGAGGUCACUGGUGGCUCGGAGCCCCUCAUCACGAAUGUGCACCUGCAGCACUUGGAUCAUGUGAGGACAAUGACCCUAAGCACACAGCCAAGAUAAGAAAGGAGUGGCUACAGGACAACUCAUGUGGAUGUCCUUGAGUGCCCCAGCCAGAGCCCAGACUUGAACAUCUCUGGAGAGAUCUGAAAAUGGCUGUGCACCGACGCUCCCCAUCUAACCUGAUGGAGCUUGAGAGGUCCUGCAAAGAAAAAUGGGAGAAACUGCCCAAAAAUAGGUGUGCUUUUUUUGUUUUUUAUUUUUAAUAAAUUUGCAAAGAUUUCAAACAAACUUCUUUUAUGUUGUCAUUAUGGGGUAUUGAAUAAUUAAUUUAUUCCAUUUUGGAAAAAGGCUGUAACAUAACAA